CGUAUGCAGCGAGUCCACACGAAUGGGUUGUCCUGGGCUUGGAAAUUGUAUCCACAGUGAGGAUACAAUAACAUUAAUCAGGGAACAUAACCAUCCUCCUUUAUAUGAAACAGACAACACAAUGGAGUUCAAUGACGGAUUAUGGUUAGAUGUUAUGAACACUGAUGAUGAUUUGAAAUCCAUUUAUUUACGUGUAGCUCUUGAAUUUGAUGCUGCUGCCACAGUCGUUACUUGGUCUACAAUUGAGAGAUCGAUGAGAGGGUGGCGUCAACAGAGCCGCCCAGCCAUUCCAGCUACAUUACAGGAGCACAGUGAAAUUAUCAAUCUCCCGAACUAGGAGAAAUAUCGUGUUUAUCCUGGUGGACAUUUAAGUCUAUAAUACCAUUGUUAUCGAUGAUGAAACGUCAGUCGCAAUAUUUGGAAAUCAAGAAUAUAUGUCGCCAUGGACUGACGUUGAAGAGUUACUGGUGGAUUGUACAUUUAAUAUUUCUUCUCGAGCUGCACACAUUUCACAGUUUCUUACGAUAAUGGGAAGAUUGGAUGGCACGGCCCUGUUACACAGAGUGAAACCACAAGGAGCAAUCCACUUGACUCGUCUAAGUCGUUGGGAUAUGGGAAAAAUGUUUUUCUGGAAACUAGCUGCACUAGCAUUACUGCCAGCAGAUAAAAUCAUUCAAGGCUUCAGAUGGCUCAUUGACAAUGCAACACCAGACCUUCUUAAUUUCUUUCAAGAUUUGACAACAUAUUACAAAAAUUGGUGGCCAGGUAGAGUUACCCCAGUCAAGUACUCAGUCUUCAGAUUAAAACAUCGCACCAGCAAUGCUUAUUGAGGCUUACCACAAAAAUUUGAACCAAGAAAUUGGAAGCCAUCCUGGAAUUUAAAAAUUUACAGCUGCUUUGAAGAAUAUCCAAAUUACUGCUCAACGAGAGGUGCAUUCAUUGAAUAUGGGUAUCCCAGUCCGUCGAUCAGUGCACUGAAAAAAUAUUAUACACGAAGAAUUGCUCGCCCUUCUGUGGGAAUCCUAUGCCAGUGCAAAUUUCACUAUUCCUCAAUUUCUGGCCUGCUCAAAUCAUAUAUCGAGUUCAUUUAACAAUGAUUUAGUCAUUGAUUCACAAGCAAAAUUAGACAACUUGAUGGUGUCUCAAAUCCACAAUCGAGAUAUUCAACCACCCCAUCGUAAUUUGGAAAAUGUAAUUAUUGUUAAUCACCGAGAAUGAGACCCAGUUCCAAUUAUAAAAGCGGAGGAAAUUGAAGACAAUAUGGAAGUGUUCAUCUGUGAGUUUCUUCAAUACGAUAAUGUUCACGGGAUAGGAUAAUUCCAUUUUCUCACUUAUGAUUAUGGAAUAAUUUGAAUAUUUUUUUUUGUUGCUAAUAUUCACCAGGUUCUAUGUCUUCAGUGCAAUCAGUUGAUUCUGAAUGUUAUUUGCUUUCCGACACUGGUUUUUGUGUGAAAAAUGCACCAGGAAUUUGACUAUGCUUACAUUAAGGCAUAAUGCUGAAAUAAUGUGCAACGUUUGUUUUAAUAUUUUUGAGCUAUUUGUAAUUGUGCAAAUGCAAAUGCCAUAGAAAAUUAUUAUAUUGUAUUUGA